rnacentral:rRNA from 1 species
AUUGAACGCUGGCGGCAGGCCUAACACAUGCAAGUCGAGCGAGCGGCGGACGGGUGAGUAAUGUCUGGGGACUGCCCGAUAGAGGGGGAUAACUACUGGAAAGGGUGGCUAAUACCGCAUACUAUCGGAUAACCCAUAUGGGUCUAGCUCGUAGGGGGGGUAAAGGAUCACCUAGGCGACGAUCUCUAGAUGGUCUGAGAGGAUGAUACUCGACACUGGGACUGAGACCCGGCCCAGAUUCCUACGGAGGCAGCAGUGGUGAAUAUUGCACAAGUGGCGCAAGCCUGAUGUGGCCAUGCCGCGUGUAUGAAGAAGGCCUUAGGGUUGUAAAGUACUUUCAUCGGGGAGGCGUUACCCGCAGAAUAAGCACCGGCUAACUCCGUGCCAGCAGCCGCGGUAAUAC